CCCUUAGAUGUUCUGGGCUGCACACGUGCUACACUGGCAGGUUCAGCGAGCUUCAUGCCCUGAUCUGAAAGGAAUGGGAAAUCUUUUCAAAACCUGCCGUGCUUGGGAUAGAUGUUUGCAAUUAUUCAUCUUCAACGAGGAUUGCCAUGUAAGCGCACGUCAUCAGCGUGCAUUGAAUACGACCCUGUAUUCUGUACACACCGCCCGUCGCUCCUACCGAUUGAAGUUUUCGGUGAGUUGACAGGAGGAUUUUUUUGAAACUGGUUCGCCAGUGGAUUUUAGAUCCAAAUGCCAACGAAUCGAUGGCUUUAGAGGAAGGAGAAGUCGUAACA
rnacentral:rRNA from 1 species